rnacentral:tRNA from 1 species
GAGUGUAGCUCAGUUGGUUAGAGCGCCGGAUUGUGGAUCCGGAUGUCGUGAGUUCAAGUCUCAUCUC